GCUGCGUUCUCAAGUCUCGAGGAAAGCUAUGGCUCUAAUUUUGAUUUGCCGCUGCUUAAAACAGAACUCACCGUUAUGUACUCAAUGUCUGACUUCAAGGGUAAGAGCGCGGCUGAUCUGCUCCACUUUCUCCAGCAGAAGAGCCAAAUUGAUGGUAUGCACCAAUUGCAUCUGCUUUCCUGUCUAGUUUUGACCAUUCCAGUGUCCACUGCAUCAGAAAGAACAUUUUUCUGCACUAAAAAGGAUCAAGACAUAUUCCAGGAACACCACUGGACUGUCAGUCCUGGCUUUAAUCUCAAUCAAAAAAUAACUUCUUAUGGAUUUAAAAUCAAAAGACAAGCUAUAUAAACCUGACAUUGCCCAUUUCAUAAUGAAGGACAGGAGAAUGGACUUCGUUUUUAAAUGAUAAUCAUAAUGGCCUCCAAGUCCCCACAAACCACCAACUGUUCCCUUAGAGAAAGCAGCACCGCCUGAAACACUCUUCACAGUUGCAAUGAAUCACCCCAGCUUUAUUGACCUGCUUAAAUAUUUUAUGGAUAUCUAUGUGGAGUCAAUAUAGAUAGAAGCAGAGAUGAGCUCACUGCACAUCUAUAGAUAUGGAAACUGACACCAGGAACUGCAUGAUUCAUAUUAAAAUAUGAGCAUGGUUUCUCUCUCAACAUUAAAAGGCUUGAAUCAUACUAUUAUAUUUUGCUCCAGUGCUAUAUCAGAGUAUCCUAAUCUGCUUUGAAAAAGGUAACUAAUUAUCAGAGAAAAAUAUUAUUCAAAAUAGUCCUCCUGCUCCGCCUCCUCUUUAAGGCACUGUCACGCUUGUGUGUAGGAACGGACCAAGGCGCAGCGUGAGUAUCGUUCCACAUCUUUUAUUUGAAUGUGAAACUUCGCAAGACAAACAGUAAACUAUAAACAAACCACAAACUGUGACGACAGAGGUGCAACAUGCACUAACUCAAAAAAUUAUCUCCCACAAACACAAGUGGGGAAAAACCACUACUUAAAUAUGAUCCCCAAUUAGAGACAACGAUGACCAGCUGCCUCUAAUUGGGAAUCAUACGAAAACCCCAACAUAGAAAAAAGAAACUAGAACACAACAUAGAAAAAUUAAACUAGACAAAAAAACCAGUCACACCCUGACCUACUCUACCAAAGAAAAUAAGAGCACUCUAUGGUCAGGACAUGACAGGCACAUUGUUGGUAAUGAUUUAUAAUUUCAUUAUAAGGCAAAUUCAGUUUUCCUAAAAUGUUAUAAAAGCAUAAGUUCUCUGCAAUUCAACAUUAUCAAAGUAAUCAAAGUAAUAAUUUCGCUUUUUGAUUAUAAGAGCCAGUCUCUAUAUUUCUCUAAUUUCAGUAUUUUUUUGUCCCAACUGAAUAUCUACAAUGUGCUAUGAUAUAAUUCUUUCCAAAGCCAGUUGGUUCCCUAUUCAUCAAAUCCAUAUUUUAACAUUGUGAGCAUAGGCAGAUCAGGAAUGGGAAAUCAAUGACACUCUGACUAAUCUUGGUUGGUGGCUUUUUGCAUCUCUGAAUGGAAUAUACUGUAAAAAUGACACCAUGAACAUAUAUAUUGAAGAGAUGCAAUAAGCAAUUAAUUGUGUCAUUAUCUUAGAUGUGUCAGCUAAUUAAAUAAUUUGUCAGUAUAUCUGGGACUCAAUUCCCUUGAUUAAUUGUAAACAGGUAAGCAAUAUUUGCUUUGAACAGGCCGAGGAAUAAUGAAGGAUCAACUGUGGUUAUUCCAAGAGGCAAUGGACAUUUCUUAAACCUCAUCAAUAAAAGGGCAUUGAGAGGCAUUGACCAAUUUUUGUGAUAUAUUAUAUACUGUAUAUGUUUGUGAAAGGUUGUGAGAGGGAAACGGUAUGAAAUUAUGUUACCAUAAAGAAAUAUACCUGAAAACAAAGCCAGAUGCCACAAAUAGAUCCAUGAGACCAUAGUUUAUACAGAGAAAAAUACAUUUUUAUCCCCUAGCCUAGACUAUAACAUGAUCGUAAAAUACAUCGAUUUUUAGACAAUAAAAUAUACUGUAUAUUAAUAAAAUACUGUAUAUUUAUUCUAAGACCUUCAAUUUCAACACUUUCAAUCCAAUCCUACUUAACAUGUUUUAGUUAUUUUUCCAAAAAACUGUGUGAACAUUAAAUAAACAAGGCCUGCUGAGAGUCAAUUACUUAGUGUCCCUGCAAAUUGAGCUUCCCCACAACCACCGUCUUCAAGGUUGUUAAUUUGCAAAAGAAGUUGAGGGAGCUCAGAGACUGUUAGCCUCAGCAGUUACCAAAGUAGAUGAGCUCCCUUCUAAUUAACACCAGGCCCACCAAUUUGACUUUGCGAAGCACUUCAAAGCACACACCCUACAUUCAAUACAGCUAACUAAAUAUGGCACUUUAACAUCUAUGGGAUCAGGACAGUUGAGCUAACGUAGGCUAAUGCGAUUAGCAUGAGGUUGUAAGUAACAAGAACAUUUCCCAGAACAAAGACAUAUCUGAUAUUGGCAGAAAGCUUAAAUUCUUGUUAAUCUAACUGCACUGUGCAGUUUACAGUAGCUAUUACAGUAAAAAAAAAUACCAUGCUAUCGUUUGAGGAGAGUGCACAAUUUUAAACAUGAAAAGUUAUUAAUAAACAAAUUAGGCACAUUUUAGGCACCUUUGAACAGAAAUGCAAUGGUUCAUUGGAUCAGUCUAAACCUUUGCACAUACACUGCUGCCAUCUAGUGGCCAAAAUCUAAAUUGCACCUCGGCUGGAAUAAUACAUUAUGGCCUUUCUCUUGCAUUUCAAAGAUGAUGGUACAAAAAAAAUAUUUUGCUACGAAUUCACCCAAGUGUUCAUCAUCAAGUAAUCACAUCUCCUCACUCAGCCAGCCAGCCAGAAAGCCAAGGUCGAACUCUUGACCCAGUGCCACUUUGUGUGACCUUAUGCAUUAAAGUUAUAAUAGCUGGGAUGAAGUUAGCUCAAGCAUGCAUAGUGGAAAAUGACAGGUUUGACGCUAUGCUAAUGGAACUUGUUAACAAAGUCCCAAAGAACACAGGGUCUGAUGCACACAAUUGGGUAACAUGAACAAGUGGGAGGACAGACAGUUGAUGAAUAUUUCAGUUAAUCUUAGCAACAAUCUAGGUAGUUCUUAAUAUUAUUUUCUUGAGAAAAGAAAGUAAAAUAUUGCAUAGACUGUUUGAAUAAAAUAGGUUACAUGGAGGCAUAGGAAAUUAUUAAGGAGUGUAAAAAUGUUUUGGCAACCAUCUUUGCGCUUGUGUACACACUAAGAAAAGAGGGUUCCUCAAGGGUUCUUUGGGAAGGCUGAUAGUUCUAUGUGGAACCAUAAUAACACAAAGAACCCUUUGAUCCUUACAAUGGUUCUUUGCAGUUCCGAAAAGGGUUAUUUUUUAUCUUAGUGAUAGUUCAAAUGUAGG
rnacentral:lncRNA from 1 species